GACGAACGCUGGCGGUGUGCUUAACACAUGCAAGUGGUGCGACGAACCAGAGCUUGCUCUGGGGCAAAGCCGCGAACGGGUGAGUAACACGUGGGUAAUCUACCCCGAUGACCGGGACAACCCGAGGAAACUCGGGCUAAUACCGGAUGUGGUGCGGAGACAUAAGUCUCUUCACUAAAGGUAGCUUCGGCUUCCGCAUUGGGAGGGGCCCGCGGCCCAUUAGCUUGUUGGUGGGGUCAAGGCCUACCAAGGCAACGAUGGGUAGCUGGUCUGAGAGGACGAUCAGCCACACUGGGACUGAGACACGGCCCAGACUCCUACGGGAGGCAGCAGUGGGGAAUCUUGCGCAAUGCGCGAAAGCGUGACGCAGCAACACCGCGUGAGGGAAGAAGGCCUUAGGGUUGUAAACCUCUUUCAGAUGGGGCGAAGGUUCUCCGGUGAAUAGCCGAGAGGAUUGACGGUACCGUCAGAAGAAGCUCCGGCUAACUACGUG
rnacentral:rRNA from 1 species